rnacentral:rRNA from 1 species
ACGCUCGACACCUACGGGAAGCAGCAGUAGGGAAUCUUCCACAAUGGACGCAAGUCUGAUGGAGCAACGCCGCGUGAGUGAAGAAGGUUUUCGGAUCGUAAAGCUCUGUUGUUGGUGAAGAAGGAUAGAGGUAGUAACUGGCCUUUAUUUGACGGUAAUCAACCAGAAAGUCACGGCUAACUACGUGCAGCAGCCGCGGUAAUCUGAGCGGGCUGGCAAGGC